ensembl:lncRNA
UGAUCACCAUUAUUCCCAAUAGCCAGUCACUGAUCACUAUUGUUCACAAUGACCAAUCACAGACCACCAUCACUCCCAGUGACAAAUGAAUGAUUACCAUUGAUCCCAACAACCAAUCAGUGAUCACCAUCAUUCCCAAUGUCCAAGCAAUGAUCAUCCUUGUUUCCUACAUUCAAUCAAUGAUACCAUUGUUUCCAAUAACCAAUCACUGAUCACUGUUGUUUUCAACAACCAACCAUUGAUCACCAUCAAUCCCAAUGUCCAAGCAAUGAUCAUCAUUGUUUCCAACAUCCAAUCAAUAAUAUCAUUGAUUCCAACGAACAAUCACUGAUCACCCUUGUUUUCAACAUCCAAUUACCGAUCACUAUCAUUCCUGAUAACAAAUCCCUGACCUCCAAUGUUUUGGUUAUAUUUACAGUAAAAAAAUAAUAAAUAAAUAAAAAAGUUUUUUUUUUUUCCCAUCUGUAUCUAUCGCUCAUAUCUAUUUUCUAACUCACUACCACGACAUUUUGUUUGCGUUCUUGAUGGAAAUGAUGGAAUUUUGUACAGUUUCCGCUUGUGAUGUCAUGACCAAGAAAUAAGGUAUAAGGUAUAAUUUUACAUUCGGAUAAAGCCCUACACGAUAUACUUGCAAAGAAUCAUGAUGAUUCAGUGAAUAUGCAAAUGAGUCUGUGAUGUCCCCUGGUGACCCCAACCAACGUUUUGCUUUCUGAGCCUGUGUUCCACUGAACAGUGGAUGAGUUUGCAAUGCUGCACGUACAGUACACGUGCUGUGAAAGUGUUAAUGCAAAUAGCCGGCCAGUAUAAAUCAGCGUCCAGCCGCAGCCCGGAGAGAAAAUAGUGUAAUAGUUAUUGAGAAAUGAAGUGGCACUGAGAUCAAUACGCCACUAUAUCUCACUUGGAUGGAGAGACACGAGGGGCUUGGAGCAGGGGUCCUCAGUGUUGCAUCCAGAGGGCACUAUAAAUCUGUGUGUGUGUGUGUGUGUGUGUGUGUGUGUGUGUGUGUGUGUGUGUUAAUCAUGCGUAAAACUUGCUUUAGAGAACGCACUGCCAAGUACUAACUUAGUUUUGUUUUCUAAUAGUGCAUUGAGUCGUCUGAGUGUUUAUAACGCAUUCAUAAGCAUUACAUAAACCAUUCAUAGAGAAAUAGCAGAUUAUUUAUAAUAGUAGUAAUAGUUAUAGUAGUAGUAAUAGUGGUAGUAGUAAUAGUAGUACUAGUUAUAGUAGUAGCAGUAGUAGUAGUAGAAAUCGUAGUAGUAAUAGUGGUAGUAGUACUAGUUAUAGUAGUAGUAGUAGUAGUACUAAUAAUAGUAGUAGUAGUAAUACUGGUAAUAAUUAUAGUAGUAGUAGUAAUAUUGGUAAUAAUAAUAGUAGUAGUAGAAGUCGUAGUAGUAAUAGUGGCAGUAGUAAUAAUAGUAGUACUAGUUAUAGUAGUAGUAGUAGUAAUAUUGAUAAUAGUAGUAGUAGUAGUAGUAGUAGAAGUCAUAGUAGUUAUAGUGGUAGUAGUAGUAGUAGUAUUACUAGUUGUAGUAGUA